rnacentral:rRNA from 1 species
AUUGAACGCUGGCGGCAUGCUUUACACAUGCAAGUCGAACGGUAACAGGCCGCAAGGUGCUGACGAGUGGCGAACGGGUGAGUAAUGCAUCGGAACGUGCCCAGUCGUGGGGGAUAACUACUCGAAAGAGUAGCUAAUACCGCAUACGAUCUAUGGAUGAAAGCGGGGGACCGUAAGGCCUCGCGCGAUUGGAGCGGCCGAUGUCAGAGUAGGUAGUUGGUGGGGUAAAGGCUCACCAAGCCAACGAUCUGUAGCUGGUCUGAGAGGACGACCAGCCACACUGGGACUGAGACACGGCCCAGACUCCUACGGGAGGCAGCAGUGGGGAAUUUUGGACAAUGGGCGCAAGCCUGAUCCAGCAAUGCCGCGUGCAGGAAGAAGGCCUUCGGGUUGUAAACUGCUUUUGUACGGAACGAAACGGCUCUGGUUAAUACCCGGGGCUAAUGACGGUACCGUAAGAAUAAGCACCGGCUAACUACGUG